CACAUGCAAGUCGAGCGGAAACGAUGGGAGCUUGCUCCCAGGCGUCGAGCGGCGGACGGGUGAGUAAUACUUAGGAAUCUACCUAGUAGUGGGGGAUAGCUCGGGGAAACUCGAAUUAAUACCGCAUACGUCCUACGGGAGAAAGGGGGCAGUUUACUGCUCUCGCUAUUAGAUGAGCCUAAGUCGGAUUAGCUAGAUGGUGGGGUAAAGGCCUACCAUGGCGACGAUCUGUAGCUGGUCUGAGAGGAUGAUCAGCCACACCGGGACUGAGACACGGCCCGGACUCCUACGGGAGGCAGCAGUGGGGAAUAUUGGACAAUGGGGGAAACCCUGAUCCAGCCAUGCCGCGUGUGUGAAGAAGGCCUUUUGGUUGUAAAGCACUUUAAGCAGUGAAGAAGACCUAACGGUUAAUACCCGUUAGCGAUGACAUUAGCUGCAGAAUAAGCACCGGCUAACUCUGUGCCAGCAGCCGCGGUAAUACAGAGGGUGCAAGCGUUAAUCGGAAUUACUGGGCGUAAAGCGAGCGUAGGUGGCUUGAUAAGUCAGAUGUGAAAUCCCCGGGCUUAACCUGGGAACUGCAUCUGAUACUGUUAAGCUAGAGUAGGUGAGAGGGAAGUAGAAUUCCAGGUGUAGCGGUGAAAUGCGUAGAGAUCUGGAGGAAUACCGAUGGCGAAGGCAGCUUCCUGGCAUCAUACUGACACUGAGGUUCGAAAGCGUGGGUAGCAAACAGGAUUAGAUACCCUGGUAGUCCACGCCGUAAACGAUGUCUACUAGUCGUUGGGUCCCUUGAGGACUUAGUGACGCAGCUAACGCAAUAAGUAGACCGCCUGGGAUAUAAACA
rnacentral:rRNA from 1 species